AUACGUAGGUGGCAAGCGUUGUCCGGAUUUACUGGGUGUAAAGGGCGCGUAGGCGGGAUGGCAAGUCAGAUGUGAAAUCUCCCGGCUCAACCCGGAAACUGCAUUUGAAACUGUCGUUCUUGAGUAUCGGAGAGGCAAGCGGAAUUCCUAGUGGAGCGGUGAAAUGCGUAGAUAUUAAUAGGAACACCAGUGGCGAAGGCGGCUUGCUGGACGACUACUGACGCUGAGGCGCGAAAGUUUGGGGAGCAAACAGGAUUAGAUACCCUGGUAGUCCACACUGUAAACGAUGAAGGCUAGGUGUAAGAGGUAGCGACCCCUUUUGUGCCGGAGUCAACACAAUAAGCAUUCCGCCUGGGGAGUACGGCCGCAAGGUUGAAACUCAAAUGAAUUGACGGGG
rnacentral:rRNA from 1 species